UACGAAGGGAGCUAGCGUUGUUCGGAAUCACUGGGCGUAAAGCGUGCGCAGGCGGCUUGAUAAGUCAGAGGUGAAAUGCCAGGGCUCAACCCUGGAACUGCCUUUGAAACUAUCUGGCUCGAGUCUCGGAGGGGUUAGGGGAAUUUCCAAUGUAGCGGUGAAAUGCGUAGAUAUUGGAAGGAACACCAGUAGCGAAGGCGCCUAACUGGACGAGUACUGACGCUCAGGCACGAAAGCGUGGGGAUCAAACAGG
rnacentral:rRNA from 1 species